rnacentral:rRNA from 1 species
GGGGACUGAGACACUGCCCAGACUCCUACGGGAGGCUGCAGUCGAGAAUCUUCCGCAAUGCGCGAAAGCGUGACGGAGCGACGCCGCGUGGGGGACGAAGGCCUUCGGGUUGUAAACUCCUUACAGAGGGUAUGAAGGUGCCUGUUGACCCACUUCGGGCACUUGACGUCAACCUCAAAUGAAGCUCCGGCUAACUACGUGCCAGCAGCCGCGGUAAUACGUAGGGAGCUAGCGUUGUUCGGAAUCACUGGGCAUAAAGGGUGCGUAGGCGGUUCGUCGUGUCCGUUGUGAAAUCCCCCGGCUCACCCGGGGAAGUGCGGCGGAAACUGGCGGGCUUGAGGACAGAAGGGGAGAGUGGAACUCUAGGUGGAGCGGUGAAAUGCGUUGAUAUCUAGGGGAACGCCGGAGGCGAAAGCGGCUCUCUGGUCUGUCUCUGACGCUGAGGCACGAAAGCUAGGGUAGCGAACGGGAUUAGAUACCCCGGUAGUCCUAGCCGUAAACGAUGGGCACUAGAUGGAGGAGGAUUCAACGCCUUCUCUGUCGAAGCUAAUGUGGUAAGUGCCCCGCCUGGGGAGUAUGGUCGCAAGGCUAAAACUCAAAGGAAUUGACGGGGGCUCGCACAAGCGGUGGAGCAUGUUGCUUAAUUCGAAACAACGCGAAGAACCUUACCAGGGCUUGACAGUGAGAAGUAGGAUCCCGAAAGGGUAACGACCGGUACCCAAUCCGGAACUCAAACAGGUGUUGCAUGGCUGUCGUCAGCUCGUGUCGUGAGAUGUUGGGUUAAGUCCCGUAACGAGCGAAACCCCUGUCCUUAGUUGCCAGCGGUUCUGCCGCGCACUCUAAGGAGACUGCCGCGUUAAAGUUGGAGGAAGGUGGGGAUGACGUCAAGUCAUCAUGGCCCUUACGCCCUGGGCUGCAAACGUGCUACAAUGGCCGGUACAAAGAGAAGCAAGGCCGCAAGGUGGAGCAAAUCUCACAAAGCCGGUCCCAGUUCGGAUCGGGGGCUGCAAUUCGCCCCCGUGAAGUUGGAAUCGCUAGUAACCGCGGAUCAGCUACGCCGCGGUGAAUAUGUUCCCGAGCCUUGUACACACCGCCCGUCAAGCCACCCGAGCAGGGCGCACCCGAAAUCCGUGACCCAACUCACUUCGGUGGGAGGGAGCGGCUGAAGGUGAGCUUUGUAAGGGGGACUAAGUCGAAACAAGGUA